GAUUUAUCCGUCAUUAAUAAAAGAAAAAGAUGGCAGGUCAAUCAAAAAAAGAAAUGGUCCAGGGAUCGUGAGGCCCUACAAAAUCUACUAACAACGCAAAAUAAAAAUACAUCUAUUUUAGCUUCUGAUGAUGUUCCCACUAUUUCUAGGGAGUUGAACCUAAUAUUGACUCCUCUUCAGAUAACAAACCCUGUCUUAACCUCACUUAAUGAUUGUACAGGUG